rnacentral:piRNA from 1 species
UAGGCAAAUGGAUGAAACUAGAAA